CAGUCGCCGCUGUAAUACAGAGGGUGCAAGCGUUAAUCGGAAUUACUGGGCGUAAAGCGCGCGUAGGUGGUUUGUUAAGUUGGAUGUGAAAUCCCCGGGCUCAACCUGGGAACUGCAUCCAAAACUGGCAAGCUAGAGUAUGGUAGAGGGUGGUGGAAUUUCCUGUGUAGCGGUGAAAUGCGUAGAUAUAGGAAGGAACACCAGUGGCGAAGGCGACCACCUGGACUGAUACUGACACUGAGGUGCGAAAGCGUGGGGAGCAAACAGGAUUAGAUACCCCUGUAGUCCUGUCUCUUAUACA
rnacentral:rRNA from 1 species